GACGAACGCUGGCGGCGUGCUUAACACAUGCAAGUCGAACGGAAAGGCCCUGCUUUUGUGGGGUGCUCGAGUGGCGAACGGGUGAGUAACACGUGAGUAACCUGCCCUUGACUUUGGGAUAACUUCAGGAAACUGGGGCUAAUACCGGAUAGGAUCUCCUGCUGCAUGGUGGGGGUUGGAAAGUUUCGGCGGUUGGGGAUGGACUCGCGGCUUAUCAGCUUGUUGGUGGGGUAGUGGCUUACCAAGGCUUUGACGGGUAGCCGGCCUGAGAGGGUGACCGGCCACAUGGGGACUGAGAGACGGCCCAGACGCCUACGGGAGGCAGCAGUGGGGAAUAUUGCACAAUGGGCGGAAGCCUGAUGCAGCAACGCCGCGUGCGGGAUGACGGCCUUCGGGUUAUAAACAGCUUUCGCCUGUGACGAAGCGUGAGUGACGGUAAUGGGUAAAGAAGCACCGGCUAACUACGUG
rnacentral:rRNA from 1 species